UACGUAGGGGGCAAGCGUUGUCCGGAAUCAUUGGGCGUAAAGCGCGCGUAGGCGGCCCGGUAAGUCCGCUGUAAAAGUCCAGGGCUCAACCCUGGAAAGCCGGUGGAUACUGUCGGGCUAGAGUCCGGAAGAGGCGAGUGGAAUUCCUGGUGUAGCGGUGGAAUGCGCAGAUAUCAGGAGGAACACCGAUGGCGAAGGCAGCUCGCUGGGACGGUACUGACGCUGAGACGCGAAAGCGUGGGGAGCGAACAGG
rnacentral:rRNA from 1 species